rnacentral:rRNA from 1 species
ACGGGAGGCAGCAGUGGGGAAUCUUAGACAAUGGGCGCAAGNNNGAUCUAGCCAUGCCGCGUGUGUGAUGAAGGUCUUAGGAUCGUAAAGCACUUUCGCCAGGGAUGAUAAUGACAGUACCUGGUAAAGAAACCCCGGCUAACUCCGUGCCAGCAGCCGCGGUAAUACGGAGGGGGUUAGCGUUGUUCGGAAUUACUGGGCGUAAAGCGUACGUAGGCGGAUUGGAAAGUUGGGGGUGAAAUCCCAGGGCUCAACCCUGGAACUGCCUCCAAAACUAUCAGUCUAGAGUUCGAGAGAGGUGAGUGGAAUUCCAAGUGUAGAGGUGAAAUUCGUAGAUAUUUGGAGGAACACCAGUGGCGAAGGCGGCUCACUGGCUCGAUACUGACGCUGAGGUACGAAAGUGUGGGGAGCAAACAGGAUUAGAUACCCUGGUAGUCCA